GGCACUUGCAGGCCAUUGAACCUUAAAUAACAAGCAGGAUCUGCAUGAUAGUGGGAAUUUGAAUGAACAGUUUGGGUGGGGUUGGGGUGAUAAUAGUGUAUUUGGUUUGGAGAAAACAGCCUCAUUAUUGUCUGAAAUGGUAUUUGGGGUAGAAGAUUUAGAAUAUGCUAAUGCAAUGGAUGAUGCAACAGUCGGUGACUCUAGGAAUGUUAGCAAAGACAGUGAGGAAGAGAAAAACAUUGAUGGAAGAAAUGAUCGACCUAGUGGUAGCGUUGACAGUGGGGACAAAGAAAAUAAUGGAGGAAAUGGUGGACUACGUGGUAGUGGAGCUAGUGAGGGUGAAGAAAACAAUGUUGGAGAAAGGGAUGGACUGACCAGAGCUGCAGAUGGUUGUUUGUCAAUGUUUGGUGAAGAGGACAACACUCCGUGCUCUCUUCGUGGCUUGGAACCCUUUAUGGGAAAGGAAUUUGAUGAAUUGGAGGAAGCUUAUUGCUUCUAUAACACAUAUGCUAAAGAGAUGGGUUUUGGAAUUCGAAACUACCGGACUGAGCGUUCAAGGGUAGACAACCGCAUAUUAUGUAAAUUUUUUGUUUGUGCAAACCAAGGGUUUAAAUGCGAAAAUGAUAAGCGUCGCAAGGGCAAGGUCUAUGUACCUAGACAGACAAAGAAGACCGAUUGCAAGGCUUGCAUGAGGGUGAAGUUGCGGAAUGGAAAGUGGGUUGUGGAUAAAUGGGUCAGUGAGCACAAUCAUGAACUUUUGGGGCCAACAGAGGUAUACAAACUUCGAUCUCACAAAAAAAUGACAAAGGCUACAAUGAUUUUGAUGGGGAAACUGCAGCAAGCUGGUUUUACCCAUACCCAGGUAACUAGAAUUUUGAGGGAAUUAGCUAGAGGAGAAUGUAAUGUUGGGGUAAGUGAUGAUGCAUGUAGGAACCAGCUGAGGACGCCAGAGAUGAAGUUGGUGGAUGUUGAUUGCACAAUUGCAUUAGACUAUUUUGAGCAUCUACAAGAGAUGGACCCGGGAUUCUUUUAUACCAUUCAAGUUGGAAUGGACAACAAGUUGAGAGGAAUAUUUUGGGCGGACAGACGUUCAAGGGAACAGUACCAGUUGUUUGGUGAUGUUGUUGUAUUUGAUACAACAUAUAUGAAGGACAAGUACAAUUUUCCUUUUGUCCCAUUCACAGGUGUCAACCACCACAAGCAGUCUAUAUUGUUUGGUUGUGGGUUAAUAGCGGAUGAAUCAGAAGAGUCCUACAUAUGGUUGUUCAAGACCUGGCUCCGUGCUAUGAAUGGGAAGCACCCAAUAGGUAUUCUUACGGAUCAGGAUAAAGGAAUGUUGCCAGCAAUUGCAAAAGUAUUCCCAUCCACAAGACACAGGUUGUGCAGCUGUUAUACCAGCAAGAUUGGGAAGGAGAACUUAUCGAAACUUUGGAGUCGGCAUGAUGGGUUAGAGGCUGAAUAUAGGAGCUGUGUGGAUAGCCAUAGCACUGUUGAAUUUGAGUCCAAGUGGCGAGCUAUAAUUCAAAAAUACCAUCUUUGGCAGCAUGUUUGGUUGAAUGAAAUGUAUGCUAUCCGACACAUGUGGGUUGCUUGUUACUUUGGUGACACAUUCUUUGCAGCUAUGACCACCAUCCAACGAAAGGAGAGACUGAAUAGAUAUUUUAAAGGGUUCUUUAACCCUUCAACUCCUUUGAUUGAAUUUGUGACACAGUAUGAAGGGGCCAUUAAAUGGCGACGUGUAAAGGAAUCAAAACAAGAUAUUGCUUCUAGCACAACCAACCCAAGGUUGAGCACAGGACAUCCAAUUGAAAACCAAGCUGCUACCCAUUAUACAAACAAAAUGUUUAAGGAAUUCGGUGAUCAAUGGUUUGCCUGCUUUGGUUGUGAAGCCAUGGAAGAUGGUUUUGAUGGCCCUGCCCUCAAGUUCAAGGUUGGUAGACAUGGUGCUCUGGAGAAUGAAAUGGAAACUGUGUCAUAUGACAAAGAUUCAGGCAAUAGCAAAUGCAGUUGUAGGAUGUUCGAGCAAAUUGGUAUUUUGUGCAAGCAUGUGCUUAGGGUGUUUGUAAAAAUGGAUCGUACUGACAUCCCACAGAAUUACAUGUUGAUGAGGUGGAGUAAAUCCUCUUGGCAUGCUGGGGCAUUACACAAUGGUACUGGGCUUGAGAGUGGGUCAAGCCAACCUCAAAUGCAACCAGUGUGGGUUUUACUGGAUGCUGCCAACAAGGUUGCAAGACUUGGAAGUGAAUCGGAGGCAAAAUUCAAUCAUGCAAUGGAGUUGAUGGAAUCUGCAGUGAGGAGUCUGUCUGACAUGGAUGGUGCGUCUAGUAUGUGAUCUCUCCCAAGAUCAAUUGAACAGCAGUCCUUAAGUUCUGGUGAUGUGACCACUCUGCAUUUCAAACAAAUAAUGAAGAGUUGAGGAAGCUGGUUCUGAAAUGUUAAAGCUUUAGUGAGGAUCCCCAAGCAUGGCCAUGGUGGCAGUAGGUAGCCCCGACUUCUUCUUGGUCCCAAGUUGUUGGGUUUGACGAAUUCCUGCUUGUUCUUAUACAUCCAUAAAUACUGAGGUUUUUGUUUAUACUUGGUGGGCAGUGAACAAGAAGAAGAUCUCUCCUGAUCUGAUUGUGGUUUAUUCAAGUCGAUUGAAGUACUGAGUGUUGUUUUAACUUUAGCAUGUAGAGUGAACCUUUUUUUGCUUAAUUAACAGGUGCAAACUACCCGUGCACUGCUACAGAUAGCAAUGCAGUAAC